rnacentral:rRNA from 1 species
AAAGUUCGUAACAAGGUCUCCGUUGGUGAACCAGCGGAGGGAUCAUUACCGAGUGUAAAAACUCCCAAACCAUUGUGAACCUACCACUGUUGCUUCGGCGGCCUCGCCCCGGGCGCGUUCGCGCGGCCCGGACCCAGGCGUCCGCCGGAGGCUCCAAACUCUUGUCUUUUAGUGUAUUUCUGAGUGGCAUAAGCAAAUAAAUCAAAACUUUCAGCAACGGAUCUCUUGGUUCUGGCAUCGAUGAAGAACGCAGCAAAAUGCGAUAAGUAAUGUGAAUUGCANAAUUCAGUGAAUCAUCGAAUCUUUGAACGCACAUUGCGCCCGCCAGUAUUCUGGCGGGCAUGCCUGUCUGAGCGUCAUUUCAACCCUCAGGACCCGUUCGCGGGACCUGGCGUUGGGGAUCAGCCUGCCCCUGGCGGCGGCUGGCCCUGAAAUCCAGUGGCGGUUCCCUCGCGAACUCCUCCGUGCAGUAAUUAAACCUCUCGCGGCAGGAUAGCGGUUGAACCACGCCGUUAAACCCCCCACUUCUCAAGGUUGACCUCANAUCAGGUAGGAAUACCCGCUGAACUUAAGCAUAUCAAUAA